UUUCACAGAAAAAUAAAUGGAUAAGAAUUAAAUAAUAAAAAAUAGUUAAGAAAUUUCUAUAUAAAGUUCGUCAUUUUACGACGUUUACACUACUCUACAGUAAGAUAACUCAACGAAAAAGAUUCUAUAAAGUAUAGAAGAAAAACCUUAAUUUAUAAGCUAGACGAUUAUGAUUUUCUAUAUAAUCACUUUAUGUUUAUUCCUUUCCUAUCAAAAAACUGUUUCAGUAAAUAAUGAAACCGUCAAUUAUGCUUUGUAUAAGAGUUCUAUGGAAAAUGUGGAUUUAUUCGAAGGCGAUAUUAGAUUGGAUACGUCAUUUGGAGAGAGUCGAGCAGUUGUACUGAAAAAGAGUGAACUUUGGGAUGAUGCUAUAAUAUAU